AAGGCAGUGGCACAGACAGGGA
rnacentral:miRNA from 1 species